UACGAAGGGGGCUAGCGUUGCUCGGAAUUACUGGGCGUAAAGCGCACGUAGGUGGCUUUCUAAGUCGGGGGUGAAAUCCUGGAGCUCAACUCCAGAACUGCCUUCGAUACUGGAAAGCUCGAGUCCGGGAGAGGUGAGUGGAACUGCGAGUGUAGAGGUGAAAUUCGUAGAUAUUCGCAAGAACACCAGUGGCGAAGGCGGCUCACUGGCCCGGUACUGACGCUGAGGUGCGAAAGCGUGGGGAGCAAACAGG
rnacentral:rRNA from 1 species